GACAUAAAGAACAUCUCUGCAAUGGACAGAUCUCGUCCAAGCCUCUUCAAGUCCUGACCUGAUGAACUCUUCUAUUUCUUACAUUUCUCAUUUGUACUGACAAAGGUUUCUAGGACGGUUUGUAGUUUUUCCCGUGCCUACUUGGUUUCACAAUUAGAGGCCACCUCCUCCAGUCUCUGCGUGAUCUCUGGACCAGCAGCAGCCCCUUGGAACGUGUUAGAAAGGCAGGGGGUCGGAACCCCACUUUGGCCGUGCUAAACCAGAACCUGCAUUUUAACAAGAUUGCCGUACGAUUCGUUUGUACAUUACAGACUGCGGCUGUGCCCUGCAACUCCAGAAACAAAUGAGGAAAAGAGAGUGUCAAUGAGUGAGUGAGUUUGCUCUGAGGAGGCUGGUGUAAAGGAGUAUGAACUUUACACGUAUGUAAAAGUGCCAUACGCUCUAUUUUGUGAGAGACUAACGGCGGCAGGCAGUAGACAGGCCGGCAGCCGGCCAUCACAAACCAGGAAAACCUGGUGAGACCCUAAACCAGUGGGUCUGAAAAAUGCAGUAUGCAUCAGAAUCACGCGGAGAGCUUGUUAAAACAGACUGCUAGUUCCUGCCUCUUCCAGACUUUCUGAUUCAAUAGUUCCAGGGUGGCCCUGAGAAUCUGAAUGUCUAGUCAGUUCCUAGGUGAUGCUGUUGGUGCUGAUCCAGGGAUGACACUUUGAGAACAACUGCCCUAAGCCAUGAAGAUACUCAGAUAAAAGAACCUCCCUUCUACAGCUGAUUUGGGAUAAUUAUGGUCUCAAAUCCCCUAUUGAAUUUGCCAUUGGAGACCAGACCACUUUACAAUGACUUCCAGAAAGAGGCCCUCGUGGGAAAGCCCUGAUACAUUUCGACCAGCUGUGUUGGGUUGAGAGCUAAUUAGGAGGGAAGCUAGCUAGAAUGGUCUUGCUUUCCCAGCCGUGUCAUGCAGCAAACCAGGAGACAGUGGGUUGGUAAAGAAAAUUACACAGAUGAGACCCGGAAGCUGCCAUUUCAUUGGAAAAGGUUUUGCCUUUUCAUUACAAGAGAAAGCUAACAUUUCCCAUCCUUCCUUCCACCAAAAGUAGGCAAGCAUAAAGCCAAAGUCAGUUUCUUACAAUUUAGUAACCUCAGUACCAACCAAUUAUAUUCUGGGACAUGAGAAACAGCUGUUGUAACAUUAGAGCCUGAACAGUUCCAUCUCAGCUAUUUAAAGGGAUAAAAGAGCCAAUAUUUUCAUUCCCUUGUGAUAUUAUCAAGACAUGAUAAACAACCAAGACUAUAGUAUUAAUUACAUUAAUUUGGAGAGGAGAGAGACCACUUUAAUUGCUCCAGGCUGGAGAAUAAUUUUUUAUGGGCAGACAAUCAUUCCAUAAAUUCACAUUAGAAAGGGUACUUUGUCUCUUUCUAUCAGCAGCAGAACUUCUGGAGGCAAAAAACAGCUACAACCCCCAUUUAAGAUGGAUUUCAAUAGAAAAAAAAUUCUCACUGUUGCCAUGUAUUAUUUAUUGAACUCUGACAUGUUGAACUAUCUGGUAGAAACAAACAUAGGGAAGGCAUUGUCUUGAAAUAAUUCAUAAUCUGAAACAGGAAGUAGGAUUAACACAGCUAGAUUUAAAUACCUUCUCGUACAUAGAAUGGACAUAGAUGUGCCACCCUGUCGGGGUUUACAAGACCAAAUGAAUGAUGGGCAUCAAAGUGCUUUGUAAGCUGUAACCCCUUACAAGAGCAGAAAAGGAAAGAGAUAUUGUGUAUUGUGUGCCUUAUACAUGAGGCACCGAGCCAGGUGCUUGACUUGUAUAAUCAUAUUUUCACACUUAUAAGAAAUCUUAGAAAAAUAAAAACAUAAAAAAAGAGAAUGUAAUAGGUAACGAAAAUGCCAAUUUUUGUCAGUGUGGAAAUUACUCAGAUAACUCGUAUGGCUCAGGUUAAUUAAUGGGAUAUGUGCUAUAGGUAUUCUCUCUCACCCCCAAAUACACAAUAACUAUCUGUUGAUUAAUAAGUGGUCACAUUCUGAAGUCACCUGAGCAUAUGCUAUAGUUUUGGUAAUGAAAAUAUACCAAAGUAAAUCUAUUUGCUGAAAUUCCUUGGAUUAAAACCCACAUUUGGCUUCUGUAGUUGCGAUGGAAGGGGAGGAUUUAAGGUGGCUCCAGGAAGUAGCUCCUCAGAGGUGUUGAGUGCAGCAGGCAUUACUGUGGCUUUGGACUAGCCAUUUGUAACUUCACGCCCAGGGGACUCUGUCCAGGUUUCUAGAAGUAUUGUUCUAGAGACUCUCAAUAAGCACUGCUAACAGCGUUGUACUUUGCCAGGUUCCCCUGCCUGUGCUUCCAGAGGUACUAUGAACAGUCAUAAGGAAGAGGUCUUCCAGUCCUCUGAAUGCUCUGGAAACUUACUUGAGGAUAAGAGCAAUUCAACACUCCUCUAGUAAUACUCACACAAAAGAAGGGCUUGGAAGCAAUUGAGAGAACAUGCUAAGAUCGUGCGUUCCUCAGUUGCUGGACCAAGGGACACGCUGUAAAGGGGAGCGCUUACUGGAGUAUAAAAAACUGAAUAUUGCGAAGUUCUGCACCAUCCAAUUCCUUUUUAUGUAGAAAUAUUUUCAUAACUUAAAUGUCCAAUAGGGGAUUGCCUGAGCAAAAUGUGGAGCAACUCUAUGAACACAAAAAAUGAUGCAGCGAAACUGUAUAUCAAUAUGAAAUAAUGUGUGAAAUGCAUCGUAAGAGAGGCUUUCAGUUGCAAAGCAGCAUUGUUCAAUAUUGUCUCACCUUUAGUCAAAAAUGUAUAAAUGUGAAUGGAAAGAUGUUUGAAGUGCAUAUAUAUAUAUAAUCACUUGAUAAUGGAAUUCCAGGUUAUUUUUAUCCUUUCUUUGCUUAUCUACGUUUUCUGAAUUUUCUACAAGAACAUGACUGGUAAAAAUAAAAUUUUUCUGAACAAGUGUUAUUUUUCUUAGCAUCAGGAUGAUAAUACAUAACGUUUAUCGGAAGCUUACUGCUGUACACAGUGCUUUACCCUUGUUAGGUCGUUUUCUCCUCACAAUGGCAUUAUGAAGUCAUUCUUUCGUGAGAAGAAGUGUUCCCCAGCAAAGCAAAUGAAUCAACAUUAAUUGUAGAAUCACAUUUCUUUCUACUAUUCCUCAGUCAUCUGGAAAUUCAACUCUUCCUAACUUCCACUUAUAGCCUCCAUUUUGAAAACAGGCAAUAAAAUUAGGAAGAAGAUUUGUGGAGGAGAUUACUGGUAUAGAAAAGGUGACGACUAUGGAUCUAGAUACAGCUAUAUGCUUAUGCCUGUCACAGAGUCCAGGUUAUCUUAGCAAAAUAGCUUUUCCUAAGUGAAGGCAAAGGGAAAAUACACAGAUAAUACUAAAAUUGCUUUCAAAGAAACACCUCGGGGCGUCUGGGUGGCUCAGUUGGUUAAGCGGUUAAGCGUCUGACUCUUGUUUUUGGCUCAGGUCAUAAUCUCACAGUGUUGAGAUCAAGCCCCACAUGGGGCUCCACUGUGAACACACUUAAGAUUCUCUCUCUCCCUCUCUGUCUUCUCCUUCCUCCCCUCUUAAAAAAAAAAAAAAAAAAAAGGAAUACCUUUACUGUAGUUUCAGUAUACAAAUGGGAUGGAAUAGGGUAUACUCAAAAAGCUAAACACCUCGUAGCCCUGAAAAGCAACUAGACCCCAAACUAGUAGAUCUCCCAAGAGACCUCAAGCAUGUCCAUACCCAAAUGAUCCCCCAAAAUACCACUUAUUCUCAUUUUUUGAUGCCCCAGGGAAAUGGCGGUAUGAACCAAAUUUCUUUUGGGUUUGUUGUUAACCCGCUUUUAAAACCUUAAUUUCCGUAAACACAUAAAUAACUGCAGAAGACACUAUCUGUGGCCUAUCCAUUAUCCAUUUUUCUUCUCUGCUAACACAAUCAAAAUUUUGUUUUGGUAUUGAGCAGUAACAUGCUAGGGAAAGCAGGCUCGGCUCUGAUGGACUAUUCUCAGUCUGAGUCACUGUGCUGCUUAAGUUGUGUCAACUUGGCUGGGUCAUGGCGUGCCCAGAUAAUUUGGCUCAACUGGGAGUGUCUGUAAAUGAAAUUAACAUUUGAACCAGUUGGCUUAGUAGAACAGAUUGGUCUUCCCACUGUGGGUGAGCCUCAUCCAGUCGAUUGGAGGCCUGACUAGAACAGGCAGAGUAAAAGAAAAUUCUCUGUGACUGUCUUCUCUUGUCCUCAUAAUCAAACUUGGUCUGUGACUAGAAUGUACACCAUCGUCUCUCCUGAGUCUCCAGCUUGCUGACUGCAGAUCUUGGGACUUGCCAGCCUUAAUAAUCACGUAAGCCAAUUCCUUAUAACAGAUCUCUUUGUAAGCAAAAAUAUAACAUGUAUAUAUAAAUAUAAAUAUAUGUGUAUCUUCUAUCGGUUCUGUUUCUCUGCAGAGCCCAGAUGAAUACAGACAGCCAUGGUUAUUGUAUUCUCUUUUGCUGCUGAUUGGUAACCAUGUAACUUGUUUCUGGUCAAUGAGAUGUAAGGGGAAUGUUGGGGUGGGGUGGGAUGUUCUGGGACAAGUUUCCUCUUUAGUAAGAAAGAGAGUGAUACAGCCAGAGCUGCUGUGGUUCCCCUUGCUUCCAGCUUUUGGUUGGGGUUAUGUGAAGACAAAAUGCCUGGAACUGGGGUAGACAUAUUGUAUCAUUAUUGCAGAUCUCAGUGACACAUUAAAAAUGGCAAAAUGCCAGAGGUGAGGGUACCUGGCUGGCUCAGUCAGUGGAACAUGUGACUUUUGAUCUUGGGGUUGUGAGUUUAAGCCCCAUGUGGAGUGUAGAGUUUACUUUAAAAACAUUUUUCGGAAAAAAGAAAAAUAAAUGGUAAAAUGGGAAGCCGGAAAACCCCUGGAUUCUUCCUGGCAUUGCUGACCUUCUCCUCCGACCAAUGCCAACUUCUAGACCACCUGUUAAGUGAGAAGCUAGCAAUAAGGUAAGUUGUGUAAGCCCAUUUGAGUUUGAGUGUACUGUUACUUGAAUCAGAAACUAGCCAGAGAAUGGAAAAGUGUAAUUCUCUAUCUACUACUAUCGUAUUUUGUCAAUCUCUUUUUUAAAGUUUACUCUUUAUGGUCAUUUCAGAAUCAAAAUUUGAAACUUUUAAAAAUGUAUCAUUUAUUGUUUGUAAGGCAUGAAAAGGAGUCUCUGCAGGAGGACAAGGAAUGUAUAGAAAUGUAGAUCCCUCCCACCGGUGAAGUUGUGUUCACGUGGUUGACUAGACGCACACCUGUAGUUGGAGAUGGGGUGGGGGAAAGGGAGAAGCCUCCCUCUCUUCUCUUGACCAUGGGGCCAUCAAGAGCCAAAUCGCUCUCAGACUUUAGAGUUAUUGUAGGAAAAAAUCAUUCCAGCUUCUAAGGGGUAAAACUGGUUUUCUCUGGCGGUAUAGUUUCAUAGUAAAUUUCCUCUUUUCUUGUCCAACAAGAGAAACCUUUAUUUUAAAAGGUUUAAAGUGGGAAGCAGUUUAUUGAUGAUACUGGCCACGAAGCCAGAGGAGACACGCACACACGCACACACAGCCUCGGACCUUGGCAGCUCGCCUCCAAGCCCAGCCACCUCAGGAGACCUGGAGCAGGGCCAGGAAGAUGGCUGGGAUGCAGAACUUGGUGGCCAGGGGGCCACUCCAUUACUGUGGGCACACUCAUUCUGGGACAGUUAAUGACUGCUCCUUAGAGCCAAAUAAAUUGAACACUUGGGUGAAGGACUUAGUCUUAAAAAUAAGCCGUAGCUAGUAGCAAACCUAGUGAGAAUGAGGCGAAUGGGCUUACGGAAAAAUAGUAAUUCUAAAUGUGUGCCACCUCCUACUGAUUCUAAAAUGAGUGAAAAUCAACUUACUAUAAAGAAAAUCCCAUUCCCUAUCAGCCUGUGUCAUUUCAAAGAUGAUUUAUCAGGCUAAUUAAUUUUCAGGUGGUAUUUGUUUCCAACCCUUUAAAAACUGUCUUUUCUCAGGGCUCAGUAUGUGGAAUGUGAGACCUUUGAUCACGGGGCUGUGGGUUUGAGCCCCACUUUGGGUGUAGAGAUUACUUAGAAAUCUUCUAAAAAAUUCUUUUCUCUUCUGAAACUCUUAGUAAAUUUGCAUUACAUUAAAUUAGGGAUUCACUUGGGGCGCCUGGGUGGCUCAGUCGGUUAAGCGUCCGACUUCGGCUCAGGUCAUGAUCUCACUGUCCGUGGGUUCGAGCCCCGCGUCAGGCUCUGUGCUGACAGCUUGGAGCCUGGAGCCUGCUUCAGAUUCUGUGUCUCCCUCUCUCUCUGACCCUCCCCCGUUCAGCUCUGUCUCGCUCUGUCUCAAAAAUAAAUAAACAUUAAAAAAAAAAAAGAUAAAAAAAUUAGGGAUUCACUCCAUUCAUUCAUCCAACACAAAUUUAAGGAGCACCUCACAGGGUGUCAGGGUGCCGUGCUAGGUGUCCAGGAAACGGGUGAAAAGUAGAUCAUCCUCGUUCUUAUGAAGUUAACAGCCUUCUGAGGCUUCUGAUGUGUAAACCAGCAAUUGAGAUAAGGUGGGAGCAGCAUUACUACAGAAUCUUGGGCAAGGAAUGAACAGAGUAACUUCGUUUCCUGAUAGAAACAUCCCAGACAACAUAAUGUUAAUGAUCUGAUUUAAGGUCAUACUUCUGCACACACACAAAUGUCGUACGCAUAUGAUACAUGUAAUAUUUUUAUAGUGUUCUGGAAAUUGAUUUAUGGUUUAGGCAGGAAUGACGGAAGGCACUAACUUGGGGGUAACUUGCUUGCAUCUUAAAGAGCCUCCCUCCCUGGCAAUCUCAAGCGCGUUACCCUGAGUGCCUCCCUGAGAAAGGCUGGUGUUGAAAACAAGCCUGAAAGGCUAAGAGACUCUGAGACCAAGCCGUGGAUGUGGUGGGAGUGGUGGAAUGCACCAGAAGCUGUCAGAAUGUGACAAGAGGGCAUUUAUUUUAAGGGUGUGGGGAGAAAAAUAAAUUAGACUGCAAUUGGAUUCUUCAGUCAGGGGCAGGAGUUGAGAGGUGCACUGUGCUUGUGUGAAGAAUUUUUUUUAAAGAACACCCAAGUGGAGAACAAGGAGAUAUAAUUUUUCUUGACGUGCCAGUAUACAGUAAGAACAUAUAUUUAGUAACAUUCUCUUCCCUGCACCCUGAGCAGCUGUUCGGCACCAGCACACCCUCCGCUUCCAUCCAGGCAGGGAAGGGGGAGUGUGCCGCGCCCGAAGUUUCUGGAGUUGCAGGAGCUGAGGCCCUGCUCCUGGAGCUGAUUUCUCCUGCCUCUUCCCGGCAGCAGGGGUCCCAAACGGGGCCUGGGUUGCGAAGUGAGAGAAGUUGCUCCAGGGCAAGACCGACUGGAGAGCCCAGUUUAACUUGGGUAGGAAGAGUAAGUCUCCUUGGAUUUGGCCAUCACUGUUUGGUCAGGCUCUUAAAGACCCUAGUGGGGUUAAAGGGUCCUCCUUGCACUGUAUUUUUUUUAAACGCAGGGAGCAGGAAAGAGAAACUCUAAAAAUCAUCCCUCUUUGCUCUGUGAGACUGUAAUUCACUAGGCAAGGUUUUUGGCUGUCGGGGAAUGUUUUAUAUCCCUUAACAUAGGACUGUAGGAGGUGGAAAACAGGAUGAAUCCACUUCAGCUCAGGCUGUCCUCAUCCAAGGAGUGACACUGUGGACAUCUGUUUUUCUAAGUUCACAGUCAACUUCUUGGCACUUUUUCGUGGAGCCUAGGGGGUAUAGGUGACAGUGAGGACUGACCAAGGUGGAGGGGGGCCCUAGGUAAAUAGGUAGGUAUUCAUUGGUUUGCCCAUUUCCUCCCUCCCUCCCAGCCUCUCUCUUCCUCCCUCCCAGGGUAGCACACUGGUGCUACUCAAAGUGUGGUCCUCUACUGGCAGCAUCACCAUCUCUUGAGAGCUUGGUAGAAAUACAAAUUCUUGGGUCCCACACCAUACUACUGUGGUAGGCAAUGUCUGAGACAAGGCAGAAGUGAUAGGAUGUCACUUCCCAGAGGAGGUUACAAAAAGAUUUGGCUAUAGUCCUGGAUGCGGUCUCUCUCUCAUUCACUUUGAGAGAAGCCUGCUGUCAGGCUGUGAACAGUGUUUUGGGGAGGCCCAUGUGGCAAAGAACUGAUGUCUCAGGUCAACAGCCAGUGAAAACCUGAGGUCCACCAACAGCCAUGUGAGUGAGCGUGGGAUUGGAGCUUCCCUAGUCAAGCCUUGAAACGACAGCGGCCUCUGACCUCCUGAUGGAAGCCUUGUGAAAGACUCAGUGCCAGAGAACCCAACUCAGCUGUGCCUGGAUUACUGACUCACAGAAGCUAGAGGGAGCUGUGAAAAACGGAAGUCACAUCCUAUUACUCCCCUGCUGAAAGUCUCCAAGGCCUACCCACCCCACAGAAAAUAAAAUGCCAACACUUCACCCACCUGCGGUGCCAGGGCAUGCUCAAUUUCCUGCAACUUCUCUGAUGUUAUCUCGUGACCCUCUUCCCUGCACUCAGCACACUCCCAAAACAGUAGCCUUUCUGCUGAUGCUCUCAGUGGUUCUCAAAGUGUGGUCCCUGGAUCUGCAGCAUCAGCAUCACCUGCGAAGCUGUUGGAAAGGCACAUUCUUGGGUCAUACCCCCAGAUCUACUGGAUCAGAAAACUCUGGGGGCAGGCCCCAUCCAUCUAUGUUUUCACCAACCCAUCUGGUGAUUCUGGUGACUGCUGAAGUUUGAAAACCACCUCUAAUUUUUCAAACGCACUCCUGCCUCCAGACCUUUGUACCAGCCAGACACUUUCCCUGGUACACUCUUCCCAGGGCUCUUUCCUCAUCAACGAGAUGUCAGCUGAAAUGCUAGCUCCUCAGAGAGACUUUCACCAGCCACCUACUUAAAGCUGACUUAUAGAAAGGAGAUAAAUUAGACUCUCUACAGGGAGCUGCAGUAUUGUGGCAGAGCCCAGGGAUGGAGUCAGACGAUGAAUGUCAAAUUCUAAAUUCUCCACUUGAAAAUCACCUGACCUUGGAGAAUAAGGAUAGUACUCGUGCCCCGGAAACCUUGUGAGAUUACAGAGACCACGUAUAUAAAGCAGCUGGUUCAGGAUUUAACACACCCGUGGGAGAAUUGCCCUUGUUUGGCCUUUGGUCAGUUUUCCUGCUUGGCUGCCCUGCCCUACAGAGUCCUGAUGGGGCCUCUCGCUUCCGCUUCAGUUUUCCUGCCCUUUUCAGCCGGGUUGCCACUUCCUCCCUCCCCAGUCCAUCCCUUCUCCACCCCCUUGGUCUAAACAGGGCUUGUUUGUUUCAGGUGGCAAGGUAUCACCAAGUCCUACUCUGUGCUUGCCAGGUGGAACCCUCAAGGCCUGAUAUUCAGAAACAGUAUGCUCCAGGUUUCCCUGAGUUUCCUGGCUCCUGGUUCCUGGUUGGGAAUCUUUCCACUCCUUCACAAUGUCCCAACUCUUUUCAGCCAUUUUGGUCUUUUCUGUCUUCUGCAACCAGUCAGUCAGCAUGUACCCAGGAGGGGCUCCAGCCUGCCAGGUAUACUUACUGUCAGAGACCCCAUCACACAUCACCAAAACAUGAUAUGUUUUGGUGCCCACAUCAAAUUAAAAAAAAAAGUAUAUAACUAUAUGAAGAUUGGAUUGCCUUACCCCUCAACCAGUUACAUUUUACAGAAUAUAAAUAUUUGUUAAAUUCAGUAUUUUAGUUUGUUUUCCCAUUUUGGAGUCAAUUAUUUUCUCUUAUGGCAAAUAUAAUUAUAGACCCUUGAAAAGCAUUUAUGCCUUUGGUGCUUUAUACAUUUAAAAAAUCUUCUUUUUGUCCAUUGGUGAGUUUUCCUUCUUCCCUUUUCCUCUUUGCUUACAACAGUCAGUGACCAUUCCAGAGUCUAUAAAGCAUCUGGAAAUUGUUGUGUUUGGUAGGUGAUAUUUCAUGUAUUUGAUGCUGUCAGCAUGGAAACAUGAUCUCAUGCACUUGUGUCCAUAUCUGUCCAAGAGUGUGAUGACCAGACCUUGCAUUUGCUAUGUGCAUUGUGGGCUGCAGAGAGCUUUCUCAUACAUUAUCCAUUUGUUCUCAUUUGAUUCUCACAGUGGUCCACUGAGCUGAGCAUGAUAUAUAUAUACAAACAUACAGUUACUCCUGAUUUUACCAAUGAGAAUCCAAAGCUUAGAGAAGUGAAGGGACUCAUUCAAGGUUAUAGAGUAAGUGACAGAACCAAGAUGAGAAUCCCCGUCUUCUGGGUGUCAUGUGUGCCAUGCUGUUUUCACCUGUGGGAAAGAAUUAUUCCUGGAAGAGGAAAUUAAGCAAGACUUGAACAGUGGGAUAGCUGUAGGGAUGUGUGUGUGU